GCUGAUAUAGCUUAGAAAGGUAGAGCACAUUCUUGGUAUGAAUGAGGUCCCCAGUUCAAUUCUGGGUAUCAGCA
rnacentral:tRNA from 2 species